GUACGCCGAAGUUAAGCAUCAUUGGGCGCGGUCAGUACUUGGGUGGGUGACCACCUGGGAACACUGCGUGCCGUU
rnacentral:rRNA from 1 species